rnacentral:rRNA from 1 species
UACAGAGGUCUCGAGCGUUAGUCGGAGUCACUGGGCUUAAAGCGUACGUAGGCGGAUAUGCAGGCGUCGUGUGAAAUCCCUUGGCUCAACCAAGGAACUGCACGGCGAACCGCAUGUCUUGAGAUCGGUAGGGGCGGUCGGAACGAUAGGUGGGGUGGUGAAAUGCGUUGAUAUCUGUCGGAACGCCGAAGGUGAAAGCAGGCCGCUGGGCCGAUUCUGACGCUGAGGUACGAAAGCGUGGGGAGCGAACGGG